GAAAGAGAUAUAAUAAAAGCUGCUAACUCUUAUAACUGAGGCUAAAACCCCAGCUCUUUCA
rnacentral:tRNA from 1 species